AUCAACAAAUAGUAUAGAAGUUAUGAGAAAUGUUACCUUACAUCCUUGCCAAUUCUAGACAGCAUCAAUGGUAUGGAAUAGCUGUUGACACAAUAGUAUACCGUUGAGCAUUGACAGUAGCUAAACUAACCACCUCUUUUCCUUCUAUCACUCUCUCAGGUGAAGGAGAUCUCACUGGAGGCCACAGGAGCUUUGUGAAGCCAGUGCGACACAAUCACUGUUAAUCACUGUUGUCAAGCUGGAGAGGUCAAGGACCCGACUCAGCAUCACGGAGCCUGUUAUGGUUUGUGACCCUGUGUUACUCAGCACAGUGAGGGGCAAGAAGCAGGAGUGGACUGGGUCAGGCAGGAGUGGUUCUGAGCCAGGCGGCUAGUUGGUCCUGGCAGCAAGAAAGAAAGAAGAACAUGAAGAUAUAUCCAACGUACUGUAUGGUGCAGUGGGAUAUACUUAAAAGGACUUCAGUUUGUGCUUAACAAUCCAAUCUAAUGUUACUUUGUGCAUAUCCCCACAAUAUGUGAUAAGGUUUACAGAAAAAAAGUAUACCGUUUUUGUUUUAAAGUAAUCUCUUUAUGUCAUAAUUACUUAAGACUAACUAUCCUUGUUAGCUCAUUGAAUAGCAUCUGAACCUAUGUUGAAGUGUAUUUAAUUUACUGCCAAUCUGGAUAUGCCUUGUUUGACACUCUUUCUGCAUAUGAAUGAGGGAGUUUGAUUAAGAUGAACCAGCGUGCACCAGGACAUGGCUCAUGAUUUGAACGGGCGAAAGCGGUGCGAGAGGAAAGCCCUGCUCAAAUAGAACCGUAAUCUGCGCCACCAGGUCAUAUUGCCAACAAGGCAGCAUGGUGCAUUGUUCAGGAACAUGCAACAUACAUUGUUAAAUAAAUACUUUUCUGACUGGUUUAAUAAGGCAGAUAAAGUACGUAUGCGUUUCAAACACUUUGCAUGUGUUGUAAUCAUUAUUCCACGUGCUUAGCAUACGUCACUUUGUUUUGAGAUGACUUUGCCAUGUCACCCUGUUCACGCCCAGGAGGCAGCCCGGUUUCACAACGAAUGCAAUCACUUUUCACCUGGUGAAAUCUCCACCUUCCUGGGCACAUGUGCCAGCAUAAUCAAAUCCCCUCAUUGGGACUUAAAAUCGGAUCCUGGGGUCCGGCAAAAUUCAGGCAGUUAUACAAUCAUUACAAUACAUUCAUUACAGAAUUCACAACACACUAAGUGUGUGCCCUCAGGCCCAUACUCCACUACCACAUAUCUACAAUGCAAAAUCCAUGUGUAUGUGUGUGUAUAGUGGUUAUGUUAUCAUGUGUGUGUAUGCAUGCGUCUGUGCCUAUGUUUGUUUUACUUCACAGUCCCCGCUAUUCCAUAAGGUGUAUUUUACCUGCUUUUUAAAUCUGAUUCUACCGCUUGCAUCAGUUACCUGAUGUGGAAUAGAGUUCCAUGUAGUGAUGGCUCUGUGUAGUACUGUGCGCCUCCCAUAGUCUGUUCUGGACUUGGGGAUUGUGAAGAGACCUCUGGUGGCAUGUCUUGUGGGGUAUGCAUGGGUGUCUGAGCUGUGUGCGAGUAUUUUAAACAGACAGCUCGGUCCCUUCAGCUUGUCAACACCUCUUACAAAAACAAGUAAUGAGGAAGUCAAUCUCUCUUCCUCUUUGAGCCAGGAGAGAUUGACAUGCAUGUCAUUAAUGUUAGCUCUCCGUGUACUUUUAAGGGCCAGCCGUGCUGCCCUGUUCUGAGCCAACUGCAAUUUUCCCAAGUCCCUCUUUGUGGCACCUGACCACACGACUGAACAGUAGUCCAGGUGCGACAAAACCAGGACCUGCAGGACCUGCCUUGUAGAUAGUGUUGUUAAGAAGGCAGAGCUGUGUGUUAUUAUGGAAAGACUUCUCCCCAUCUUAGCUACUGUUGUAUCAAUAUGUUUUGACCAUGACAGUUUACAAUCCAGGGUAACUCCAAGCAGUUUAGUCACCACAACUUGCUCAAUGUCCACAUUAUUCAUUACGAGAUGUAGUUGAGGUUUAGUGAAUGAUUUGUCCCAAAUACAACGCUUUUAGUUUUGGAAAUAUUUAGGACUAACUUAUUCCUUGCCACCCAUUCCGAAACUAACUGCAGCUCUUUGUUAAGUGUUGCAGUCAUUUCAGUCGCUGUAGUAGGUGACGUGUAUAGUGUUGAGUCAUCCGCAUACAUAGACACACUAACCUUACUCAAAGCCAGUGGCAUGUCGUUAGUAAAGAUAACGUUUAGAUGGGCCAUAUAACUGUUUUUUUUCUCCAGAAAAUCUGCAAUCCAAAUGAACCUAUCCCAGCCACCAUCUUUUUUUGGGGAAGCCCAAUUGAUUCUGAAUUCAGGCAUUUCAAAUGUGUUGUUAUGCUCAGACUUCAUGAUGUAAGGACUAAGGCAGGGGUGUCAAACUCAAUUCCUGGAGGGGCGAGUGUCGGUUUAUUAGCAUCCUUUACUCAUGCUGCCAAACAUACCCUUGUAAAACUGACCAUCCUACCAAUCCUCGACUUCUGCGAUGUCAUUUAUAAAAAUAGCCUCCAAUACCCUACUCAACAAAUUGGAUGCAGUCUAUCACAGUGCCAUCCGUUUUGUCAACAAAGCCCCAUAUACUACCCACCAUUGUGACCUGUACACUCUCGUUGGCUGGCCCUCGCUUCAUACUCGUUGCCAAAACCACUGGCUCCAUGUCAUCUACAAGACCCUGCUAGGUAAAGUCCCCCCUUAUCUCAGCUCGCUGGUCACCAUAGUAUCAGCCACCUGUAGCACGCACUCCAGCAGGUAUAUCUCUCUGGUCACCCCCAAAACCAAUUAUUUCUUUGGCCGCCUCUCCUUCCAGUUCUCUGCUGCCAAUGACUGGAACGAACUACAAAAAUCUCUGAAACUGGAAACACUUAUCUCCCUCACUAGCUUUAAGCACCAGCUGUCAGAGUAGCUCACAGAUUACUGCACCUGUACAUAGCCCACCUAUAAUUUAGCCUAAACAACUACAUCUUUCCCUACUGUAUUUAUUUUGCUCCCCAUUAUUUUUAUUUCUACUUUGCACAUUCUUCCACUGCAAAUCUAUCAUUCCAGUGUUUUACUUGCUAUAUUGUAUUUACUUUGCCACCAUGGCCUUUUUUUGCCUUUACCUCCCUUAUCUCACCUCAUUUGCUCACAUCGUAUAUAGACUUGUUUCUACUGUAUUAUUGACUGUAUGUUUGUUUUACUCCAUGUGUAACUCUGUGUCGUUGUAUGUGUCGAACUGCUUUGCUUUAUCUUGGCCAGGUCGCAAUUCUAAAUGAGAACUUGUUCUCAACUUGCCUACCUGGUUAAAUAAAGGUGAAAUAAUAAAUAAAUAAAAUUAGUUUGGAACGCUCA